rnacentral:lncRNA from 1 species
CGGAGGAACAUGUCAGAAGAUUGGACGUCGGGCCAGUAGAUCGGUUGACAUAUCGACAGAAGGCUUCGGGCAGUGGACUCGGGCAUCGGGCCAAGAAGAGCGGUUAUUGUGCCAAGGAUAUCGGAGUUGUGGAGUCAACUGGCCGAUUGGGCAAUAGGCCGCAGGAGAGGACGAUGCGCCGAAGAAUCAGACGAAGCGUCGA